AUUGAACGCUGGCGGCAGGCCUAACACAUGCAAGUCGAGCGGAUGACGGGAGCUUGCUCCUGGAUUCAGCGGCGGACGGGUGAGUAAUGCCUAGGAAUCUGCCUGGUAGUGGGGGACAACGUUUCGAAAGGAACGCUAAUACCGCAUACGUCCUACGGGAGAAAGCAGGGGACCUUCGGGCCUUGCGCUAUCAGAUGAGCCUAGGUCGGAUUAGCUUGUUGGUGAGGUAAUGGCUCACCAAGGCGACGAUCCGUAACUGGUCUGAGAGGAUGAUCAGUCACACUGGAACUGGGACACGGGCCAGACUCCUGCGGGAGGCAGCAGUGGGGAAUAUUGGACAAUGGGCGAAAGCCUGAUCCAGCCAUGCCGCGUGUGUGAGGAAGGUCUUCGGAUUGUAAAGCACUUUAAGUUGGGAGGAAGGGUUGUAGAUUAAUACUCUGCAAUUUUGACGUUACCGACAGAAUAAGCACCGGCUAACUCUGUGCCAGCCGCCGCCGUAAUAC
rnacentral:rRNA from 1 species